CCUACGGGAGGCAGCAGUGAGGAAUAUUGGUCAAUGGGCGCUAGCCUGAACCAGCCAAGUAGCGUGAAGGAUGACUGACCUCUGGGUUGUAAACUUCUUUUAUAUGGGAAUAAAGUGCAGUAUGUAUACUGCUUUGCAUGUCCCUUAUGAAUAAGGCUCGGCUAACUCCGUGCCAGCAGCCGCGGUAAUACGGAGGAUCCGAGCGUUAUCCGGAUUUAUUGGGUGUAAAGGGAGCGUAGGCGGGUUGUUAAGUCAGUUGUGAAAGUUUGCGGCUCAACCGUAAAAUUGCAGUUGAUACUGGCAGCCUUGAGUACAGUAGAGGUAGGCGGAAUUCGUGGUGUAGCGGUGAAAUGCUUAGAUAUCACGAAGAACUCCGAUGGCGAAGGCAGCCUGCUGGACUGUAACUGACGCUGAUGCUCGAAAGUGUGGGUAUCAAACAGGAUUAGAUACCCGAGUAGUC
rnacentral:rRNA from 1 species